AUGAGAAAGCCAGGUGAGUCUGAAGAGCUAUUGGGUCCUUUGAGGUCAUCCGAGCAAUUGCAUGCCGGACCAUGUCCUGGGACACGAGGUACGGAAGGAUCUUCCCCAAGAGGAGAAUGUCGAUUGAGGCGCUCACAUCCUGACCAUAGUCGGCCAGGCAAGUGGCCAGCAUCUGUGUAUAAGAGACAGGGGCACAAAAGUUUCUGAACUAACCUCAAUAUUUCUAAAAAUUUGUAUUCGGAAUAUUAAAAAGGGUACAUAAGGGCAAAAACCCAUGAGCACUCCUGCUGGUAAAUCAGAAUGUAAAAGCUUUAACUCAACUUUUUAAGCAACAUUUUUAUUUCACUAAUUUUCUACUCUACAACAUUUUGGGGAUUUGUUUAGAAGAAAAAAUGAAAAGUCUCUCAAGCAGUAUUACUGUUGCCAGGCAACUUCUUUUUAUUUCCUUCAAUGACAGUGGAGGUUUAUUUGACUUUUGCUUAUUCUUAGUAUUCACAGUGCGGCGCAGAAGUUUGGAGCUCCUCAGCAGGUUGUAAUCUUCGCCAUCGGAUUUUUCUCUUCACAGUGUACGGAUCUCAUCUGCUCUGCACUAUUCAGUUUAUUAUGAGUUACAAUUUCAAGCAUUGUGCUGCUAAAUUUACCUCUCACAUUUUUAACUAUGCCCUUUUGUCUUUACACUUCACACACCUAAAGGUAACUUAUUAUCAGCAGCAAUGCUUUCACAUUUUUGACACUUGAUUUUUUUUUACAUUUUCUCAGGAUGAUGACAAAGUUGGUUUGUCUAAAGUGCAAAAAGAACAUUUCCUUUUAUUAAAGACAUACUACGCAACUUUUUCAUUUCAUGCAACAAUGAAAUUAUAUGUAGCGCUGCAUUUAGUAUGAAUUGUCUCAGCAUUUUAAAGCAACACUAAAGAGUUGUUAAACAGCAGGUUCACUGUGAAAAUGUGUUGUACUUGUUUUUUUAAUAAUCGGUCACUCUGAGUUUUAAGUGUUACUUUACAAAUUUUUCAUAUUUUUUAAUAAUUUUCUUGAGCCAUUAUGUGCUAAAUUGACCCUUUACAGGGUUAAUGAAAUGUCUCUCAGACACACACUGUGGCAACAAUACCGCGUUUGCAACUUCAGAGUUACAACUGACUCUUUUCUUCUUAUUAUUUGAGAUUGUUUUGGGAGUAUCAGUGGUUUUCAAGUUACUCCCAUGCAGGUCAAUGGAUUGUUAAUCUGCUAAUUCGUUAAAAAGUUCUGAUAAAUAAAACCAAGUCCUUUUAGCGUUGACAACACAAAUCGUUCAUAAAUAAUUAGUUAUUUUAGUCAUGAUAGACCUCCUGCCUGUAGAAUUAUGAAACCUUUGCAUCCACCUUAUUUUGAUUUGAGAGAAAAAGAAAGCAAAACGUGUGAUGCAUUUUUGUGUCUCGCAUUAUGGUUGAAAGACAGUUACUUCUAAGUGCUCCUGGACUGAAUUCAUUCAUUCAUUCAUGAAGCGUGUCCAUGCUACCAAUCAAGGUAGUCUAAAAGGCUGAAAACAAAAAAGCUACAAUGACAAAGACGAUAAAGACUAAAAUAAGUAUGUAAAGAAACGUCACCUAGGAUUGACUGAUUAGUCUUUUGUUGUUAGCCUCAAGGGCAACCCGCCCGCUUCAUCAUCACUUGUAAGUUGCUUUGGACAAAAACGUCUGCUAAAUACAUAAACAUGAAAAAUUCUAAAUAAAAACAGCUACAUUCAAAGAAUAAAACUGACUCAGAGGCAUCCUAUAUAAAUAAAUAAGAUACUGAAAACUGUAGGUCGUUUAAGGAGGAGGCGCAAAAAAUAAAGUCUGGCUUUUAAACGCCCCAACGAGGGAGCCAGUUUAACCUUGAGAGGGAGUUUGUUCUAGAGCUUCAGACAGCACGACCACCCCUGGUUUUCCGCUUGUCCUUGGGACCGUGAUCGACUGAUGGAAGACAUUUCAAUGGGAUGUGUUUUGAAAGCAAAAAUGAAAUGUACAAAUGGAGAGUGCCAUUGUCCUUUCAUUGGAAAGUGAAGGGUUCAGUGUAAGCAAGGGCGUCAGUUUGUUUUCAGAAUUGCUGGGGACAAUAACCAUACACUUGAGUGGGGUUUAAAAAUUGCUGGGGACAAUAACCAUACACUUGAGUGGGGUUUAAAAAUUGCUGGGGACAAUAAAGUAGGCUAGCACAGGGGUCGGCAAUCCGCGGCUCAGGAGCCGCAUGCGGCUCUUCCAUCCAUCUGAUGCGGCUCUCUGUGCUUGUAAAAUAAUGAAUGGAUAUUUAAAUAAAAUGCUUUAUAUUUUACUGCAUUAAUUUUACACCUGUAUGCCAAUUCUAAAUGUAAAGAUUAUCUGCGUAAACCUGAACAGGUCCAACCCGGUCUGCGGUGGUUGACCGGUCACGCUUGUGCGUAAUCAUAUCGGCACUUUAUGAGCUGAAGAGGGUGUGAGAUUCUGGGAUUCUCCUCAGACGGCUCCUGGAUGUGUCGCCACAUUGGAGACAGGAACAAGC
ensembl:lncRNA